CACUGACAGUCAGACUGAUUGAUUUUAUGAUUUCGCCAAGGUUGCUGCUUUUUGGGAUGAUUUUUGUGCUGUCACAACUGCUGGGUCUGUUCAAGUGUUCAUUUUUGCCUGAACUCUCACUGAAGACCUCUGCUUCAUAAUGUCCAGCGUGUUGAGUUGUGAUGUUUGUGAUGGUCAGAGAUCUAGUCUCAUUGUCCUCCUUCAGUCUGUCUCUGAAUCUCCCGCCUUCACCAUCAUAUGAACAGCUCUUACCAUCGAUCAUAGCUAUGAGAAUGCUAUUAAAGUACCACCGCACCAUGUCAGAUUCUUUGGUAACACCAGGGUUUAGAACCCUUGUAAGAUCAGGGUUCAGAGUGACUGAAUCUCCCUCCGUCACU